rnacentral:misc_RNA from 1 species
GCCACAUUAUUCAGCAGGAACAAAAUUAUUUUCCUUCCUAUUUCUUAAAUGUGAGUUUUUUUCCUACAAUGGGUAACAUAUUGCCACAAGCAUCAAACCUGAAGGAUUAUAACUACAACAAAUCAUCAGUCUGAACCCCAAAAGGGCCAAAAACCUCAUUCAUGUCUAUGCAUAGAAAUUUUACUUUCAAAAACAAUCUAAGCAUGCAAAUGCCAAAAUAUAUGCUAAUCCCAUAUAACAAGCUUCCAAAAUUUAAAUCAUUCCCUCCUCCCCAUCCUGUGCUACUGCUAACUCACUAUUGCCCACAAAAAGUCAAAGAAU